GAAUUCGCCUUGAGGAGCAAUAACCGGAGGGUUCCGCUGCCGCCCCUCGUGGGGUUUGGCACCAGGGGCAUCUGUGCCCCGCACCCGUAUCGCCCGCUGACCCCCGGAGGGCCGCUCCGGGAGAUGGCGGGUUUGGAAUAUGGUUUGU